AUACGUAGGGUGCAAGCGUUAAUCGGAAUUACUGGGCGUAAAGCGUGCGCAGGCGGUUUUGUAAGACAGUGGUGAAAUCCCCGGGCUCAACCAGGGAACUGCCAUUGUGACUGCAAGGCUGGAGUGCGGCAGAGGGGGAUGGAAUUCCGCGUGUAGCAGUGAAAUGCGUAGAUAUGCGGAGGAACACCGAUGGCGAAGGCAAUCCCCUGGGCCUGCACUGACGCUCAUGCACGAAAGCGUGGGGAGCAAACAGGAUUAGAUACCCUGGUAGUCCACGCCCUAAACGAUGUCAACUGGUUGUUGGGGAUUUAUUUUCUCAGUAACGAAGCUAACGCGUGAAGUUGACCGCCUGGGGAGUACGGCCGCAAGGUUAAAACUCAAAUGAAUUGACGGGG
rnacentral:rRNA from 1 species